UAUCCAGCUGCAGCCCCGGAGAACAACACCCUGGCGUGACAGAACACCCAGGCGUGACGGAAGUACUGUGGCUGGACGGAAGUUACCUCCGAUUAUUUUCUAUAGACAAAUAAACGUAUUUAUCGCUUGAAUUAACAUAACAAAGAAAUAAAAAAAUAUUUCGACACAGAUCUCGCAGAGCAGCUUGUUCCAGGAACUUGGUUGGAGAAAACUGGACAUGAUAUCGAGGGACUUCCACCACAGGAAUACGGGAACGACUGUGGGAUCUUCAUGAUUAUGUACGCUUGGUACCUUGCCAUGGAGGCACCAUUUGACUUCACUGUUAAAGACAUGCCAGUCCUCAGAAAAUGGUGGUGCACAGUACUGCUUGAGAACUUCCACCUGGAUGGGCACGGCAGAAGGUUCGCACACUUCACGGAGGAGGCCAAACAAAUGACGGUUGGACUACUUCCACCAGUCUUCAGACUGAAGCGAAAGAGAGAAUGAGUUGGAGCUGAUGGCAGCAUGAAGAACCUAUAUCUUUAAGAUUCUGUAGAUUAUUUGUUGAAUAAAUUGUGAGGAAACUUUGGUGUGGUUAUUCUUCAAUGUAUCUUUAUAUCAAAUUAUGAUGAUAUACUUGACAAAAAUUUGAAUUUGAUUCUAUUAAGACAUAUUAAAACAAUUACUUAAUUCUAAUGGUAAAUUACUUAAUGAGUAAAGUGUAUAAUACACUCAAUUCCAUUCAAUAAUUGUCUACACACUGAACUAGUUUAUUUGUCUAAAUAACGUUAAAAAAAAUAAGCUAUAAGCUAAGCUAUAAAAAUGGUUACUGACAUGUCAUAAUAUUGUUUUAUUAUGUACAUUUUUUGGUCUAAUAAAUUCAAUAACGCAAAAAAGAAUCCUGAGGUAUUUGUCUAAAUAACGUUAAAAGACAUUUUCCAAGCUAUAAAAAUGGUUACUAACGUGUCGAAAUAUUUUUUUAUUUAUUUUUUAUGUUAAUUCAAGCUAUAAAUACGUUUAUUUAUCUAUAGAAAAUAAUCGGAGGUAACUUCCGUCCAGCCACAGUACUUCCGUCACGCCUGGGUGUUCUGUCACGCCAGGGUGUUGUUCUCCGGGGCUGCAGCUGGACCCUACUCGGAAAGCUGGAGG